ACAUUAGCUCAGUUGGUAGAGCAGCAGACUUUUAAUCUGUUUGUCGACAGUUCGAUUCUGUCAUG
rnacentral:tRNA from 2 species